ACAGUGGUCUAUAUCUGUAUUGUG
rnacentral:siRNA from 1 species